rnacentral:lncRNA from 1 species
CUUAUAUCUCCAUUCGGUCUUGUUCUCUGGACUGCCAUUUCAGUCAGUAGAGAGAAACAGACCUCCUUAAGCACAGACCAGCCUAUCUUAAGAAGAACUGACAAAUGGGAUCGCCACUGCUUACAAAGAAGAGGCAGAUGACUUGCUGUUGCUACAUGAAGUGAGUCACACUUCCAGUACAAGAAACCCAAGAAGCAAUCAUGAAAUAAGGCCUUGACUGUGAUCUCCUUUCUCCAAUUAACUUGAAGAAGAGAGCUGCCACAUGUCCCAGAGCAGAAGACUGCAGAAAACUAAGUGUUGAGAAGGAGGGAGAGGCAGCAUACCUCUGCACCAGCACUGCAGUAUGCAUCACAUGA